AAAGUCAAGGUUUUAUUCGGAUGACUUGGAUUUUAUGAAAUAAUAACAGAAUUUACGUUUUGGGUGAUUUCAAUAGUUUUGUAAUAGAUCUACAAGUGAAAUUUUGUGAGUUUAUGGUUAUUGUUGUGUUUAAUAUGUGUUGUGAAUUUGAGCUCGAUCUAACAGUUGAAUUGAGGAAUAUUGAGGUUUAAGUGGGUCAAGGUCUCAGAAAGUAGAAUUUUAGGUCCAGUGGGGGUUUUUAAGGUUUUUUGCAAUCUACUCGUUGGAUUGGAGUGAAACUUAUGUAAGAGGAUAUAAGACUUGUUUUUCUAUGUGUGUGAGAAUUUUGAGAUCAAUCGAAUGGUGCAAAAGAGAGAUAUUGGCUCUAGAAGAUUCGCAUCAAGAUUGGAGAAGGAAGCCGGUCAAUACCCAAGUACAUUUUUGAAGUUAUCAUCAAUUUGGUAACUCCGAUCCUUUUCAAUUUUAUUGUGAUUGUUUUUAACUUAAUUUUAAAGAAGUGUGCAAGAUUUGAGUUAAGAUUGAUGGUUUAUUCAUUAGUUAUCGAGGUUUAAAUCUGUUGUAGGAAUUACUAGGAUUUGAUUUAUGGUUUGGUUAGAGUUUGAUUUAGGAUUUAAGAUUUGGAUUAGGGUUUGAUUUAGGAUUUGGUUUAAGAUUUGGUUUAGGAUUUUAUUUAGGAAUAGGAUUAGGAUUUGGUUUAAGAUUUAAUUUAGGAUUUAGGAUUUAGGAUUUGGAUUAGGGUUUGAUUAUAGUUUCAUUUAGGGUUUCAGAUUUGGUUUAGGGUUUGAUUAGAAAUUUGUUAAGAUUUGAUUUAGGAUUUAGGAUUUUAUUAGGAUUUAAGAUCUAAUUAGGUUUGGUCUAAAAUUUGAAUGAAGUUCAAUAAGAUUUUAUCUAGAAUUAAAUUAAGAUUGAAUUGAGAUGUAUUUUAGUGAUAUUUGUGAUCCUUCUAAUAUUUCUUUAAGAAUUCUUAUUGUUUGUUUGAAAUUUCUUGAGGAUUUUUGAAUUUGAUUAAGCUUUUUUAGAAUUAUUAUGGUCUAAUUAGAGCAUUGUUAGUAUUCUAUUAGAAUUAAGAUUUUGUUAUUACAAUUUCCAUUCUUCCUUCCACAGCCAGGUGCCUAGAGCAUUUUCAAGCAAGACUUCACGUAUUACGACAUCAUAUAUAGAUUCUUCAUUAUGCUCAUGUAGCAAAUCCAUUGUAUGAAUUAUUACAUAAGGAUUAUCGAUUUAAAUGGGAAAGAAAGCAUACUGAAGCAAUGCCAAAGCUAAAGGUGUUAUUGGUGACACCUCCAAUUUUAAGAAAAAUUGAUAAUGACAGUAAUAGACAAGUAAUUCUUAUUGUAAAUACCAGUCCUAUUGCUAUUGGAUGGACUAUCGGUCAAGAAGAUUACAGUGGAAAUAGAUUCGUAGUUUGAUUUCGAGCUAAAGUUUUAAGUACUCAUCAACGUGCAUAUUCACAAAUCAAAAGAGAACUUUGGGGAGUUGUUUUGGCUAUGAAAGCUGAAAAGAAUUAUUUGAUUGGUGAACUAGUAGUAAUUGAAAUGGAUAACUUGCCAUUACUUGGAAUGAUCACUAAUUGUUCAACAUCGGAUAUUGCAAUAUUAAGAUGGAUUGCUUAUAUUAAGUCAUUAAAUCCAGAAUUUAAGCAUGUUGCUAAAAAGAACAAUUUAGUAGCAGACAUGCUAUCUUGAACAAGAUAUGAAAGAGAAGACAAAAUGGUUUAAAACAUUGAUGAUAUUGGGUCAAAAUUCUAUUCAGUAUCAAAUCUUAAUAAAGAAGACAAGCUAUUUCUAGAAGAAAAUUAUGAAAGAGAAUUAUUGGAUAUUGGUCAUUACUUGAAUACCUUAACUAAGCAAAAAAAUUGGUCUACAAAAAAAUUUAAACAAAUAAGAAAAAAAACAUAUGGAUUUUUGCUUCAAAAAGGUUCUUGUGGAAGAGACCAAAGAAAAGAAUUGGAAUGCCACAAAGAGUGAUAGGCAAUAAAGAAGAGAAACAAAAGUUAUUAAAGGGGUUUCAUGAUUUUUUAUACGUAAAACAUAGAGGAUUUUGGGCUACUUUUGCUAAGCUUAAGGAACGAUAUUGGUGGAAAAAUAUGUAUGGAGAUGUACUCUUAUUUGUAGAAUUAUGUGAAAUUUGUCAAGCGUAUUCUAAUAUAUGACAUCGAGAUGGUCUUCAUCCUACAUAUCCUCUAGCUAUUCAUUUUAAAUAGGUUGUUGAUUUGAUUAUUAUGCCAAUCGGAUUAUGGCAAAUGAAAUAUUUGGUCUUAGCUCGCAAAGAUUUAUCAAAUCAAGUAGAAGGAAGAGUAUUGAGAAUAAAAACUACAAAAGGGAUUUGUAGAUUUUUGCUUGAAGAUAUUAUUUGCCGCUAUGAAUGUGUAGGAAAAAUCAUUGUAGAUUGUGGAGAAUUAAAUGUACAAGAAGCUUGUGAAUCCUUUGAAACAUGUGGAAUUAAACUAUCACAGACUACUGCUUCUAAUGGAAAGGUUAGAGAAUGGCCACGACUUUUGCCAUUUGCAUUAUGGGUUGAUCGAACAACUCAUAGCUCAGUAACGGAAUAUAUACAUAUUGAGCUUAUGACAGGCCAAAAAUCAAUUAUGCCAAUUGAAAAAAAAGUACCUACUUGGAGUGUGCUACUAUGGAAAGAUGGAUUGACAAGAAAAGAAGUUUUAGCUAUUAGAAUUCAACAAUUAGAGUAAAGUUCAGAAGAUGUGAAAAUAGCAUUAAAAAGGUUAAAAAGAGUGAGGUUACAAAACAAGACACGAUUUGAUAAGCAGCAUCGAUUGAGGCCUAAAGCAAUUGGAGAAGAUGAUUGGAUUUUGGUCUAUGAUAGUAGCUUGGAAAAUCAACAUAGUGAUUUAAAGAAGUUUUCUAAACAUUGGUUUGGAUCGUAUGUGAUAACAAUUGUUCAUGAUAAUACAACUUACUCAUUGUAGAAAUUAGAUGGAAGAAGGUUAAAAAUAUCAAUUACAGGGAAGCAAGUAAAAAUAUUUAAACAAAGAUAUACGGAAAUAAAUAUAGAAGACCUUGGUGAAGAUAUAGAUAUUUCUCAACAGGAAGAUAAAUUUGACAUAGAUAGCAAAAAUGAUGAAGAAGAUUUUGAUGAAGACUUGGAAAACGUAUUAUGAAUCAAACAACAACUAGGUUAUUUGGUGCAUACCAGAGGAUGCAUAGGUUCAGAGGGGAUAGAUGUCGUGUUGUAACAUGACUAUAUGGUGAAAAUAUAAAUAAAAAAGAUAUUAUUAAUAUUUAGUCAUCUUGGAUGUUAGAAACAGUGGCCAAUUCUAGUGCCAAUAUUCACGGUCAGUUAAUGUCAUCCCACUGUCGUCAUCGAACCAAGUACCCUUCGUACCAAUGGGACAACCAGGAUUAUUUUCCAACCCUACAUGGAACAAGCCUAGUAAAUAUAUACCAGUGGAGACACCCAAUAUACAUGAUGGGGGAGCAGGAAGCUCACUUCAUCAUUUCUGUUGCAGAUAGGUUGGUCAUUAUGUGAGUGAAUGUUCCAAUUCCAAAGCUAAUGAUGAUUACGUGCCAAUGUAAAGGAAUUGCAAGCACUCGAGGCAUACUUAUCAACAAAGUAAUACUUUAUCCAAUUUCAGUAAACAAAAUCAGUAGAUCGAAAGCCAAGGAAAAAUUGAGGAGAUAAAUCAAGGUCCUCAAGAUUCUCCGAUAAAUCAGGUGAAAUGAGUUCAAGCCGUUCUUACUAGAAGUCAGCAAAAGGAGAAAGGACCAAUUCAAUAUUUGGAUGAAUCUGAUGUUAAGGGCCAAUUGGAUCCAAUUAUGGUGUCUUAAUACGUGAAGUCUUGCUUGAGAAUGCUCCAAGCACUAGGUUGUGGAAGGAAGAAUGGAAAUUAUAUUAACAAAAUCUUAAUUCUAAUAGAAUACUAAUAAUACUCUAAUUAGACUAUAAUAAUACUAAAUAAGCUUAAUCAAAUUCAAAAAAAUCUCAAAGUAAUUUCAAACAAACAAUAAGAAUUCUUAAAGAAACAUUAGAAAGAACACAAAUAACUUUCAAAUACAUCUCAAUUCAAUCUUAAUUUAAUUCUAAUUAAAAUCCUAUUGAAUUUCAUUCAAACUUUAGGCCAAAACUAAUUGAAUCUUAAAUCCUAAUAAAAUCCUAAAUCCUAAAUCAAACCCUAAAUAAACCUUAAAUCAAACCCCAACCAAAUCCUAAACCAAAUCCUAACCAAAUCCUAAACCAAAUCCUAAAUCCUAAAUCAAAUCCUAACCAAAUCCUAAUCCAAAUCCUAAACCUUAACCAAAUCCUAAUUCAAAUCCUUAAUCCUAAAUCAAACCCUAAUCAAAUCCUAAACCCUAAAUCAAACCUUGAUCCAAAUCCUAAAUCCUAAAUCAAACCCUAAUCAAACCUUAAACCCUAAAUCAAACCUUAACCAAACCCUAAAUCCUAACUAAAAACCUAACCAAAUCCUAAACUAAAUCCUAAUCCAAAUCUUAAAUCAAAUCCUAACCAAAUCCUAAAUCCUAAAUCAAACCCUAAUCAAAACCCUAAACCCUGAACCAAAUCCUAAUAAUUUCUAAAAUAGAUUUAAACCUCAAUAACUAAUAAAUAAACUGUUGAUCUUAACUUAAAUUUUUCACACUUCUUAAAAAUUAAGUUAAAAAUAAGCACAAAAAAGUUGAUAAGGAUUGGAAUUACCAAAUUGACGAUAACCUCAAAAAUGUGCUCGGAUAUUGGCCGACCUCCUUCAUCAAUCUUGAUGCUAAUCUUCCAAAGCUAAUAUCUCUCCUUUGCACUGUUCGAUUGAUUUCAAAAUUCUCAUACACAUAGAAAAAUAAUUCUAAUAUCCUUUCACACAAGUUUUAGUCCAAUCCACCAAAAGAUUGUAAGAAAUCUGAAAAACCCCUACUAGACCUAAAAUUCUACUUUUUAAGACCUUGAUCCACUUAAACCUCAAUAUUCCUCAAUUCAACCGUUAGAUCAACCUCAAAUUUAUGACACAUAUUAAACAAAACUAUAACCAUAAAUCUACAAAAUUUCACCUAUAGAUCUAUUAUAAAACUCUUGAAAUCAUCCAAAACAUAAAUCCUAUUUUAUUUCAUAUAACCCAAGUCAUCCAAAACAAAUCUUUACUUUACAAAGCUCUUACAAAGUCAUAUCAACUCCAAAUCACCAAAAUUCAAUGCUCAUAGAAAGCUUAUUUAGUGUGCUAUCAAACCUCAUUCUCUGAUCUCCAAAAGUACUCUGGAGUCGUCGUCGAGACUCGAUUUUGUGUCCCAGGGUCUGAUUUCGAUCCUAGUUCAUAACCGGCCCUCUCCGGGUAUCAAUGUCUAGUUUUUCUAAGUAACUUUUUUCUAGAAUUUACUCUUAACUUCCUUCUAAAGAUGCCUAUAUCAUUUAUUUUUCCAAUCUACUUUUAUUUGCCUUACUUAUGGUGCCACAAAAUAAGUAGAAGUCACCUUUCUAAAAGGCAGCAUUGGUACCUUUUAAUUUUUCUACCCCUUUGACUAUUAACUAUAUUUCUAAGAUAAUUUGUUCUAAUACUUUGAACUAAGAUCUCCUAAAUUAUAAUAAAAUCUACACUCUUUCACCUAUUAAUCAUGUUACAUCACAACAAUGGGGACAUCCAAUCCAGAUCUUGGUAUGGGCCUCAUACUCAGUAUAAGACCUGACUUGGUUGGGCAAUCCAAUGAUGUCCCGAAUAUGGAGGCUUUGGUUCCAUUUCAAGCUGUUCCAUUCUCUAUGCCAUUUUGGGAGAAACGUCCUUUCCAUGGAAAGAUCCUCUUGGAGAUAGGAAUUCCAAGGAAGCGUCGUCAACUAUUCUAAUUUGGAGUCCAAGGCGGGAGAAAAGGAGACCACAUGGAAUUAAAAGGGAGGAGAGAAUAAAGAAAGAGGCAUUCGGAGAUCGUUUUUUUGAGAUCGAAGAGCUAGCUUCAAGCUCCUUCGAAAGGUGUAGAAUUAGAUUCAUAGGGUUUGAAAAGGCUUUUGGCAAUCAUUGCUGAAAGUCAAUGUUUAUAUUGGUGAAUUGGAUUUUUGCAAUAAAGUUAAGGCUGAUAUUCUUGACUGUUUUGUGAAAUCACAGAAACUUCUGUGGUUAAAAUUUAGAAGUAUCUAGAGGGUUGAAUAUAUCGAGUGCAUGCAAAAAGUUAUGUUGAUCUGACAAAACAGAUAGAGGAUAUUUGACCAUUAGCAUAAAGAGAUAUCGGAAGUUAGCAGAUUGGGGUUGUUUAGGGUUUUUGUAAUAUCUGGAGAUCUACCAACUAGAAUAAGGUGACUUUUGGCAUGGUAAGUCGAGGACUUCUAGGUAGCAGUCAAGAUACAUCAAUGUGGAUUAACGGCAUUUUCUUGCAACCUAUAAGAUAGAUUGGAUUGAAACUUCUUAAGAAUUUAGAAGACUUGCAAAGACACUAAAGGUAGAAGUUUAUAACAAUCGAAUAGUCAGAUUGAGAAUUACAACUUGUCGAAGCUCGUUGUCUAGAGUUAGGAUUUAAAAAAUAAAAAAAUAAAUAAUAAAUAAUAAAUAAUAAAUAAUAAAAUAAAAAAUAAAAAAUAAAAUAAAAUAAAAAAUAAAAAAUAAAAAAUAAAAUAAAAUAAAAUAAAAAAUAAAACUAAUAAAUAACAAAAGACUUGUAUUUAUAAUAUCUUGAAGUUAUUAAAAAUAGUAUUUCUAAGUAUUUUGUAAUAGGAUUAAGCUUUUACAUUGAAAUUUGAAAUAGUUAUAUUUAGAUGGUUGAAAUCCACUAACUUAUCCAGAUAUUUACAAAACAUUGUUUUAACUUCUAGAGCCAGAUGCCCAGUGCGUUCUCAAGCAAGAUAGUAUGUAAUACAACAACGAUAAGAGAUGUCCAAUGCUUUUUGGGAUUUGUCAAUUAUUAUCAGAUCUUCAUCAAAGACUUCUUUUUAGUUGCAGCUCCACUUAUACGUUUGAUUUGUAAAGACAAACUUCAAUGGAAUUUAGAAGCAAAAGUAGCAUUUGAAGCUUAGAAAACAACCUUUAUUUCUGCACCAAUCUUGUAGUGCGUCGAUUUUUUUAAGCCAUUUUUUAUAAAAACACACACAUCAGACUUUGUUUUGGAUGUCGUAUUGUCACAAAUGAGAAUAGAUGAUAAACUUCAUCCAUUAGUUUUUCAUUCCAAAAAACUUUUAGCAGUUGAGAUGAACUACAAGAUCCACAAUAAAGAACUUCUUGCAAUUGUGGAUUUGUUUCAAGAAUAGCACCAUUAUCUAGAAGGUGCUUCUAGCCCAAUCACCAUGUAUACGGAUCACAAGAACCUUGAAUAUUUUAUGUCAGCAUGUGUUUAGAAUUGUCACCAAGCCUAUUAGAAUAUAUCUUUGUCAAGAUUUGAAUUCAAGAUCACUUAUCGACCAAGAAAAUAACAAGGUUUAUCAGAUACACUUUCUAGACGAUCUUACCUUGCACCAAAAGAAGGCGAUGCUACUUUUGAUCAACAACGGACAAUUCUCUUGAAGCUAGAGCAUCUUCAUCUUUGAGCAAUGAAAUCAAUACUAACUGUUGAUUCAACUUUCAUUAAGCAAGUUCAGUCAAAUAUGUCUUCUGAUCCUCUUAUUUGUGAUACUAAGAAAAAUCCUUCAAAAUCUCAUGAUACUUCCAAAUUUGAAUUCAAGAACAAUCUACUAUAUUUUGAAGGAUGUCUAUAUGUUCGAGAAGGUGAAGCUCGAUUACAUAUUCUUUAAGCGCAUCAUAACUAUUCAAGAAUACAAUAUUUUAAGUACAAUAAAACUUUAGAAGUAAUAUCCAGAAACUUUUGGAGGCCCCAAAUGUGAAAAACAAUCAAAGAUUUUGUACAAUCUUAUGAUGUUUGCUCAAGAUCAAAAAAUCCUCGUCAUCGACCUUACGGACUUCUUCAGCCAUUACCCAUACCAGAACAACCAUGAUCUUCUGUUUCUAUGGAUUUCAUCAUGGAUCUUCCAAUCUCAGGUUCUUAUGACUCUAUAUUUGUGAUAGUAGAUCGUUUUACCUAGAUGACAUAUUUUAUACAAUAUACAAAAUCCAUCACAAGUGAAGAAAUAGCUAAGCUCUUUCUUAACAAUAUCUUUUGCUAUCAUAGAUUAUUCAAGGAUAUUAUAUCAAAUAGGAAAACUUAAUUUGUAUCAAGAUUUUGGAAGACUCUUUUCAAGAUUCUAAAAGUGGAUAUAAAACUAUCUUUGGCAUUCCAACUUCAAAUUGAUGGACAAACAGAGUGUGUUAAUUAAGUAUUGAAGGAGUAUUUAAGAUGUACCAUCAACUACCAACAAGAUGAUUGGACAACUCUUUUGCCAUUGGCAGAGUUUGCUUACAAUAAUAUGAUACACUCUUUUAUAAAACAAACACCUUUCUUUGCUAAUUAUGGUUAUCAUCCAUAAUUUGAUACUUUUGACUUUUCAAAAGUUGAUAAUCUUGCUUCGAAAGAUUUUGCAAUUCAUUUAUCAGAGCUACAUGCAACGAUGAAGGCGCAGUUAAAAGAAGCUCAAGAACAAAAAAAGAUUAAUGCAGAUGUAUCUCAAAAUGAACAACCACCAUUCCACAUGGGUGAUAGGGUAUAGUUAUUUCAUCGCAAUAUCAAGAUCUCUAGUCCUUGUGACAAGUUGGACUAUCGAAGGCUUGGACCAUUUUCUAUUUCAGCACAAAUCAAUCUAGUUGCAUAUCAUUUACAUCUACUGGAGUCAAUGAAAAUCAAUCCAGUAUUCCAAGUGUCUCUUCUUGAACUAUACAAGAUAGUGGACAUACGAAGAAGAAGACAAGCUCCACCUCCUCCUAUAGAAGUGGACAAUAAUGAAGAGUUUGAAGUAGAAAAAGUCUUAGAUUUAAGGCGACACCGAAAUAAAUUGGAAUAUCUUGUCCAUUGGCAUGAAUAUGAUAUUAGUGAACGCACAUGGGAGCUAGUAAAGAAUCUUGCAAAUGCAGUAAAGGUGAUGGAGGCUUUUCAUCGACGACAUCCAUCAAAAUCAAGAUAAAAACCUUUUUUAUAAUAGAAACAAGAUCUAGGCAAGAUAAUAUUCUACUUUUAAUUUUAGUUUGUAAUUUCUUUGUAGUUUUGAGGUUGAGAAGAUAGAGAAUCAACAACUAGUAGAUUUGACUCAAAAGCCUCCGUUUGUUGACCUAUUAGAUGAGACAUUAUGAUUAUGACAACCUUCAAGACAACACAAUCGAGAUGAAGAUCUUCAAGAAUGACAUGUUUUUCUUUAAAUAUAUGGCAAGAUACAAUGGUGUCAUAUUGUAAUUGCUUAUAAUAUAUAAAAAUUAAUUAAAACAUAUAAUAUGUUUGUAAGUCUUGAUGUAGAUUAGAGUGGUUAGUAAAUAAAUUUAAAAAGAAUUGAUAUAAGGAAAUUUAUUUGGAGAUUUAUCUAUUUUGAUUAUAUUAUUUAUAUUAUGUAGGAUUUAGAUAUUUAGUAUAAAGCUUAAGAGAAGGUUGGGACCUAAAGAAGAAAAUCUUAACUAAUAGGAGGCUUAUUGGAAGAGAUGAAAGCAAGGUAUGGUUGGAUGAAGGCAAAAAAUGAGAAACUUCAUUCCUAUUGGUCGAAGGCCAUGCCCAAUGGGCUUCAAAGAGGCUAUCCAAGGCCUUAUUAGGGAUUAGGGUUUUUCUUUCGAAUUCAUUUGAGCUUUGGAGGUUAAGAUCAGCAAGUUUAGGGUUUUGGGUAUAAAUUGGACAAAGAGUUUGUGUGAUUUUGAGUUUCUAUGAAGGAGAUAUAGGUAUUCAAAGUUUAGGUAUUAAUUUAAGACAUAUUGUUACUCUUUUGAGAAUACGAGGAGUUGUAGAGUAGUUUUUGAAGAUCAAAAAAUGCGGCUGAAAUGGAAAUUUUAAGGCCUAAAUCUUUUAUGAAAGAAUUAUUGCUUUUGGAGUACAUGUAAAAGAAUUAUAAGGAGUUGAAGGUGGCACUUCUAAAUCAAAGGCAGUAAGUGAGCUGUUUUAUUUAUAGUAAUGGUUGGAGCCAUAACUUGAGUUUUUGGACAAAUUUUUUGCUCAAAUUUUUUGGAAAAUGUAAAAUUUUGUGUUAAAAAGCUAUAAAUAUAAAUUUCGUAGCAUUUGAGCUUAUAUUUUGGGAGAUAUUAAGAAAAUUGCAUGCGGGUGUAUAAAGACAAGAGUUUGAAGUGACUAUUAGGGUUUUUAAGAUAUCUCAACAUUCAUAACAAAUUUGCAAUUGAAAUUUGUUAUAGAAGUUAAUAAGAAUACAUCAGUACCUCAUAUAAAAUUUGAGUUUUUUUGGAUGGUCGAAUUAGGAGAUAUGAGGUGUUGAAGUUCAGAAAAAUUUCCACAUAAGGAUAUACAAGGUUUUAGAGGAUUUUAUCAUAUUUUGGGUGUUGUUGGUUACUUGAGGCUUGUGUAUUUGAUAUAAUUGCUUAAAAGGAAAAAUAUAUAUAUAUAAAUUUAGGGCUUUUCUUAUUUUGAAGCUUGAUUGAAUGAUUAGUGACAGCCAAAAGCCGAGCAUUUUCUUGAGGCAAAUUCUCUCUACCCCGACAACGCGUUUGGUAUCACGACCUUGGAAGGGACUCUCGAUGUUUGGUGAUUUUAUUAGAGGUAGGAAUAAUUCUUGACUAUGUUCUGAAUAUUUUAUUUGAAGGAAGUUAUGAAGGCCUCAGCAAUGAUCAAAUAAUUGGGUAGUCUUCUCACUUUAGUAUGGGAUAGUAUCAAAGUUGAGAGGCCCGAGAGGCCCUAUCAAUCAUCUUCAAAGAGAACAAAGAUCAAGUAUGUGGCAAAUACAAUUCGUUGCAUUAUAGAUUUCUUCAACAUAUGAUGACUGCUCUUCAUGGAACUCAUCCCUAGAAGGGAGAUAAUGUCACGGACAUAUACAUGUAAGCUAGUAAUUACAUAUAUAAAUAGGUAGAAGUAAGUAAAAGUAGAUAAAAAUAAGUUAAUUCUAUAAUAUUUACUAUGGAAGCUUCUUAGAAGCUUUAUAGAUGCUGUUUUGACUUUAUAGGUAUUUUCAAUUAACUUUUUGGAUUUGAAACGUGGUCAACAAGUUGGCCAUGUGCCACACAUAUUGUUAGCUUGAAAACCAAGCUAACUAUGUGGCUCACAUGUUGUCUUGAUGUAACAUGAUUAAUAGGUGAAAGAGUGUGGAAAUUAUUAUAAUGUAAGAGAUCUUAAUUCAUAGUAUUAGAGAAAAUUAUCUUAAAAAUAUAGUUAAUAGUCAAAAGGGUAGUAAAACUAAAAGGUACCAAUACUACCUUUUUAAAAAGGUGACUUCUACCUACUUUUUAGGACCAUAAAUAAGGCAAACAAAAUAGAUUAGAAAAAUAAAUAAUAUAAGCAUGUUUAAAAAGAAAUUAGGAGUAAAUUUUGUCAAAAUUUACUUAAAAAAACUAGAUAUUGAUAUCUAGAGAGGGUGGGUUAUGAACCAUAGUCAAAAUCAGACCCUGAGGCACAAAAUCAAGUCUUGAUGACGACUUUGGGGUUUUUUUGUAAAUCGAAGAAUAGGACUUGAUAGUAGAUUGGAUAAGGUUUCUAUGCAUAUUAGUUAUGAGUAAUUUAAAGUUUUUAUGACUUUGCAAGAGCUUUACAAAGUCAAGAUUAUUUUUGGACGACUUGGGGCUUGUGAAAUAAAAUAGAGUUGAUGUUUCUAGUGAUUUCAAGAGUUUUGUAACUGAUCUAUAGAUAAAAUUUUGUAGGUUAAUGGUCAUAUUUGUACAUAAUAUGUAUUAUAAAUCUUAGCUUGAUCUAAUAGUUGAAUUGAGGAUUAUUGAGGUUUAAGUGAGUCCAAAUCUCAAAGAGUAGAAUUUUAGGUCUAAUGAGGAUUUUUGAGAUUUCUUGCAAUCUACUAGUUGGAUUGGAAUGAAAUUUAUGUGAGAAGAUAUUAGACUUGUUUUUCUAUGUGUAUGCGAAUUUUGAGAUCAAUUAAAUUGUGAAAAAGAGAGAUAUUGGCUGUAAGAGAUUGACAUCAAGGUUGGAGAAGGAGGCCGGCCAAUAUCCAAGCACGUUUUUGAAAUUAAUGUCUAUUUGGUAAUUUAGAUUCCUUUCAAGUUAUUUUGUACUUAUUUUCAACUUGGUUUUUAAGAAGUAUGAAAAAUUUGAAUUAAGAUCAACAGUUCAUUCAUUAGUUAUUGACAUUUAAUUCUAUUAUAGAAAUUACUGUCAGGGACAAGAACUCGAUGAAAGCUAAAGAGUAAGUGAGACUUUUCUCAAAAAGAAAUAGGACAAAAUAGAAAUAUGUAUAUUAAGAAAGAAACUGGAAUGGCUAUUGCCAAAAUACAAGAAAACUAGAGACCCUUGAAACUAGACUAGAAGCAAGAAAGGAGUUGACAAGAGUGAAGAGGGCUUCAUUCUUGCCUCUAUAUAUACUAUCUAACUAGAAGCCACGUGGCGAUAUUCUAUAAGACCUCCAAUAUAUGUUGACUUUCUAGGCCACAUGCCUUUGCUUGCAAGGCAAGUUUUCUAUGGAUGGACCAUGUAGUUAGCUUGUUCUUUAAGCUUCCAACAUGCGUGGCACAUGGCUAACUUGUUGACCAAGUUUCUAACCUAAAAGUCAACUAUAGACUCCUAUAAAGUCAAAGCAGCGUCUAUGAAGCUUCUAAGAAGCUUCUCUAGAAGAUAUUACACAAUUAACCUACUUUUACAUACUUUUAUCUAUUCAUAUAGGUAAUUAUAUGUAUGUCCGUGACAAUUACUAGGGUUUGAUUAGGAUUUGAUUUAAGGUUAGGGUUUGGUUAGGAUUUGGUUUAGGAUUUAGGAUUAGGAUUAGGAUUUGGUUAGGAUUUGAUUUAGGGUUUGAUUUAGGAUUUAAGAUUAGGAUUAAGAUUUGGUUAGGAUUUGAUUUAGGGUUAAAAUUUAGGAUUUGGUUAGGGUUUGAUUUAGGGUUAGGAUUUGAUUAGGAUUUAAGAUUAAAAUUAGGAUCUGAUUUAGAAUUUAAGAUUAAAAUUAAGAUUUGGUUAGGAUUUGAUUUAGGGUUAGGAUUUAGAAUUUGGUUAAGAUUUGAUUUAGGAUUAGGGUUUGGUUUAGGAUUUAGGAUUUGAUUGGAGUUUGAUUUAGGAUUAGGGUUUGAUUUAGGAUUUAAGGUUUAGUUAGGAUUAAAGAUUUGGUUAGGAUUUCAUCAAGAUUUGAUUUAGAAUUGAAGAUUUUAUUUGAGUUUGUUUAGGAUUUAAGAUUUAGUUAAUUUUUGGCCUAAAGUUUGAAUGAAGUAAGAUUUCAACUAGGAUUAAAUUAAGAUUGAAUUGAGAUGUAUUUGAGAUAUGUUUGUAAUCAUUCUAAUAUUUCUUUAAGAUUUCUUAUUGUUUCUUUGGAAUU
rnacentral:lncRNA from 1 species